AGCGAACGCUGGCGGCAGGCUUAACACAUGCAAGUCGAGCGGGCGUAGCAAUACGUCAGCGGCAGACGGGUGAGUAACGCGUGGGAACAUACCUUUUGGUUCGGAACAACACAGGGAAACUUGUGCUAAUACCGGAUAAGCCCUUACGGGGAAAGAUUUAUCGCCGAAAGAUUGGCCCGCGUCUGAUUAGCUAGUUGGUGAGGUAAUGGCUCACCAAGGCGACGAUCAGUAGCUGGUCUGAGAGGAUGAUCAGCCACAUUGGGACUGAGACACGGCCCAAACUCCUACGGGAGGCAGCAGUGGGGAAUAUUGGACAAUGGGCGCAAGCCUGAUCCAGCCAUGCCGCGUGAGUGAUGAAGGCCCUAGGGUUGUAAAGCUCUUUUACCCGGGAA
rnacentral:rRNA from 1 species